ACGAACGCUGGCGGCGUGCUUAACACAUGCAAGUCGAACGGAAAGGCCCUGCUUUUGUGGGGUGCUCGAGUGGCGAACGGGUGAGUAACACGUGAGUAACCUGCCCUUGACUUUGGGAUAACUUCAGGAAACUGGGGCUAAUAACGGAUAGGAGCUCCUGCUGCAUGGUGGGGGUUGGAAAGUUUCGGCGGUUGGGGAUGGACUCGCGGCUUAUCAGCUUGUUGGUGGGGUAGUGGCUUACCAAGGCUUUGACGGGUAGCCGGCCUGAGAGGGUGACCGGUCGCAUUGGGAAUGAGACCCGGCCUAGACUGCUACGGGGGGCAGCAGUCGGGUAUUUUGCGCAAGGAGGGAUACCCUGACGCAGCCACGCCGCGUGAGAGAUGAAUGGCUUCGGAUUGUAAUCUUCUUUUUUCCGGGACGAUAAUGACGGUACCUGGCGAAGAAGCACCGGCUAACUACGUG
rnacentral:rRNA from 1 species